GCAACUUCAGGUCUUCCAAAAUGUAUGAAUCUUAGUAUCCUCCACUCUCUUCAUGUCAAUUUUCCUCUGCCUCAUCUCCUCAUGGGCCAUUGCUGACCUGGGAGUAAACUUAGGCAAAAAAUCUGAAAUCUGAAUACUUGGGCCACAUCAAGAGAGGGGCCACCUGGCACUGGAACACCUCCCAGAGCAAACCUUACUCUCUUCUAACCCAAUGGUGCAUUCUUCAGCUUCAGAAACCUGAGAGGAAACAGAACAUGAAAGCAAGAAAAAAUUGAGAACAAGUGGAGCCUGCAGAUAAGCCUGAACAGAGGACUCAGUCAGAAAGAAGAUCAAAGGCUGGAGGAAGGCGAUCCUGGAGGACCUCCUAGUCCACUUAAAAGUCUGUAGGGAGUAGUACUGCACUUCCUGCCAGGAAGCCAGGGCUCUCCCACAAUCCCCAACAGGGCAUUCCUCUCUUCAUACAGAGAAUAAACAGUGUCAUACUUACGGGCUACAAUAAUUAAUAAAUAGGGUGCCAAGUUAUUUCUUUAAUUCUUGGCUUACAUUUUGCAUCAUCCAUUAUAAAUGAUUUAUUUUAAUCAUAUUUUAAAGCUAGCCUUCCAGCUUUCGAUCAAAAAAUUGUUUUAUAAACCAAGCAUAACUGAGUGAAAGCAUUCAUUUUUCUCAAUUAACAUCAUCUGCUGGAUAUCAGGAUAUUCAAAUAUGAUAGCAAUAGUAACUGUGUCUCCUAAUUGCCUAGGUAUACAGAGAUGCUAAGAGAGAAAUAAGUGUAUGACGUGUAAACUUUAAACCAUUAGCCAGUUAGCCAGUUAAUAUCUUCUCUACAAGUCUUUCCCUCUUUUAAUAAGAGGCUAAAAAAUCUGGGGGUUUGGGAAACCCAUAUGAAGCUCUGUAAGUGUGUGUUUGCGGGUGGGCAUGGGGAGAGAAAGAGAGAGAAGGUAGAUUAAAGAACAAGGCCUGAAGUGUGAGCCUUUGCAU